AUUGAACGCUGGCGGCAGGCCUAACACAUGCAAGUCGAGCGGAUGAAGGGAGCUUGCUCCUGGAUUCAGCGGCGGACGGGUGAGUAAUGCCUAGGAAUCUGCCUGGUAGUGGGGGAUAACGUCCGGAAACGGGCGCUAAUACCGCAUACGUCCUGAGGGAGAAAGUGGGGGAUCUUCGGACCUCACGCUAUCAGAUGAGCCUAGGUCGGAUUAGCUAGUUGGUGGGGUAAAGGCCUACCAAGGCGACGAUCCGUAACUGGUCUGAGAGGAUGAUCAGUCACACUGGAACUGAGACACGGUCCAGACUCCUACGGGAGGCAGCAGUGGGGAAUAUUGGACAGUGGGCGAAAGCCUGAUCCAGCCAUGCCGCGUGUGUGAAGAAGGUCUUCGGAUUGUAAAGCACUUUAAGUUGGGAGGAAGGGCAGUAAGUUAAUACCUUGCUGUUUUGACGUUACCAACAGAAUAAGCACCGGCUAACUCGUG
rnacentral:rRNA from 1 species